UACGUAGGGCGCAAGCGUUGUCCGGAAUUAUUGGGCGUAAAGAGCUCGUAGGCGGCCUGUCGCGUCCGCUGUGAAAUCCCGGGGCUUAACCCCGGGCGUGCAGUGGAUACGGGCUGGCUGGAGGCAGGCAGGGGAGAACGGAAUUCCCGGUGUAGCGGUGAAAUGCGCAGAUAUCAGGAGGAACACCGGUGGCGAAGGCGGGUCUCUGGGCAGUAACUGACGCUGAGGAGCGAAAGCGUGGGGAGCGAACAGG
rnacentral:rRNA from 1 species